CGACUCUUAGCGGUGGAUCACUCGGCUCGUGCGUCGAUGAAGAACGCAGCUAGCUGCGAGAAUUAAUGUGAAUUGCAGGACACAUUGAUCAUCGACACUUCGAACGCACUUGCGGCCCCGGGUUCCUCCCGGGGCUACGCCUGUCUGAGCGUCGCUCGACUCUUAGCGGUGGAUCACUCGGCUCGUGCGUCGAUGAAGAACGCAGCUAGCUGCGAGAAUUAAUGUGAAUUGCAGGACACAUUGAUCAUCGACACUUCGAACGCACUUGCGGCCCCGGGUUCCUCCCGGGGCUACGCCUGUCUGAGCGUCGCU
rnacentral:lncRNA from 1 species